rnacentral:rRNA from 1 species
AUUGAACGCUGGCGGAAUGCUUUAUACAUGCAAGUCGAACGGCAGCACGGACUUCGGUCUGGUGGCGAGUGGCGAACGGGUGAGUAAUGUAUCGGAACGUGCCCAGUCGUGGGGGAUAACGUAGUGAAAAUUACGCUAAUACCGCAUACGAUCUAUGGAUGAAAGCGGGGGAUCGCAAGACUUCGCGCGAUUGGAGCGGCCGAUAUCAGAUUAGGUAGUUGGUGGGGUAAAGGCCCACCAAGCCAACGAUCUGUAGCUGGUCUGAGAGGACGACCAGCCACACUGGAACUGAGACACGGUCCAGACUCCUACGGGAGGCAGCAGUGGGGAAUUUUGGACAAUGGGCGAAAGCCUGAUCCAGCCAUUCCGCGUGCAGGAUGAAGGCCCUCGGGUUGUAAACUGCUUUUGUACAGAACGAAAAGGUUUCUACUAAUACUAGGAGCUCAUGACGGUACUGUAAGAAUAAGCACCGGCUAACUACGUGCCAGCCGCCGCGGUAA